AGUAUCUAUAUGAAUUUUAAUUUCUUUUUUAUUGUCUAACUAUCAUUUGAUAUAAUUGUAGUUCACUACCUUUCUCUUUUAGUUAUCAUUUUUCAUUUAUGUAAUACGAGUUGAUUAAUUCUAUCCAUUAUUAUUAUUCAUUAUAUUGAUUGAAAUAGCAAUAGUAUAGUGAUAGUUAUAGCAAUGGUAAUAGUAAGAGUUAGAGAAGAGAAUUUAUUAUCAGCUUGCAGAAAUUUAAUAGGAGAAAAUAAGAUGAGAUUUAAUAAAAGAAUUUAUUUACAGAUAAACGAAUUUAAUCGGCAGAAGUUGGGUGAAUGAAACAUGAAGCAUUAAACGUUAGUGUUUAAUAAAUGCAGUUAUGGAUAAAUAGAGAAAUAUAGUUUUCUUCUAUCUACCAGGGUAUAGAGAAGUCAUAUUUCAAGCUUUACAAGCAAAUAUGCCCCAGGAUAGAUCACGGCUGUGAGUUGGAAUCCUAUUAAUCGGAUUACACUCGUCAGUGAAAUUGCACUAACUACCAGAUUUACCGUUGUGCUACGGAUUUCUAAUAAAUAAAAUAAAAUAUUACAAAGAACGUAUUUCUAACAAACGAAACUAACUAAUUUCUCCAACUACAGAAGUUUCAAUUCUAAGAGAGUUAUCAAUUUUUAAGAGGAACAGAAUUCUAAAACAUUUCGUGCGUUAUUAACGCCGUAUCAUCGUCGAUGCUCAUACCGAAGGGAAAUAAAUUUUAACAAAGCUUACAUCAAAAUGAAAUCUUGCUACGAACGAAACUAUAGUCAGAUGUUCUAAGAAAAUAUAGUGUUAUAUUGUCGUUCAUGAUUUAUAGUUUAUAAUUUAUAAUUUAAAAUUUAUGUAUCAAUCAGCAUAAAUUACUUGGAAAUUAUUUGCAAAAAGUUCUGGCAUUAUAUAAUACGAAUUUUGCUUAUGAGAUGUGCAUGCUGUUGCGCAAUGUCUAUGGGUCAAGCGAUGUCAUCAAAGCGGAAAUUCAUAAAGCGUGAUCAAUGUUUGCUUAACGAACGGGGUUUAAAUUAUAUUUGGCGGUAAUUAAUCAAUGUUUCAAUUUGUUGAAGUGUCUGACGCGUCCGGGAUAAUGUCGAAAGCCUGGAAACGUUUGGAGUUUGACGAAGUUGCGGGGCAAUUUGCGGAACUUCGGAUCGAUUCAUGCCCGUUUCGAAAUUAAAUCGCAAGCGUGGCUUAAAAGAGAGCAGAAUGGUGCAACGAUGAUCAGCGAUGAUGGAUUUCUUCUAACGAGAACAAAACACGGAAAACUUUUAACUGUUUGCAGGAAUAAAACAAUCUUCGUAUGAAAUUUUUCCCAAUACUUUUAUACUAAUAUUAGAAGAAGAUAUAACAGAUUGUAACUUUAUAUCGAAACACGUUUCAUUUCCUUUAUAAUUACUAUUACUAAAGAAAAGAUAUUGAAACUUGCUAAAAAUAAAUUGCGAACAAAA